CAUUCCUCUUGCUUAGAUGUUACAUAUUCUAGUUCUGAAUUCUUAGUGGCUUUCUCAGUAUUUUUAACAUGAACAGCUGACUUAAACUCUAAAGUUAAUUGGCAUUUUUACUGUCCUUCUAUGAAAGGACCUUAGAUUACUUUCAAUUACCACCCUACCCCUAUCUUAAAUGUCAUUCACUGUUCAGUAUUUUAAUUCCAUAUUUUUAUUUUCCCCCCAAGUAACACUACCUGAGCGCUUACUAGGCCAGAUUCCCUUGGAGUGUCAGCUCACCUCAGCAGUGACCAAAUCCUCCUCCCCUCUUCAGCUGGCAUUUUCUUUGAGAAGCCACCCCUUCCACAUCCCUGGCUCAGUCAGCCUGUGCUAAUUUCUGUGCUCAUCACAGGUACACUUUCAAGGGCAUACCAGCCACUGUGCCAGGAACUAGAGGUAUGGUGCGUAAGAUGACACAGGCGCUUCUGGAGUGCUAAAGUGGACACUGCCUUUGCAAAUAAGAAUACGAAUCAGCACGAGAAGAGUGUUAUAAGACAUAAGAUGGCCCCACAGCCUCGUGAACUUCUAAGCGAGAAGGAAUGCUGUGCAGUGUAAGAGGUAUUGGACUCCUUCAGAGAUUGAGGGUGUGAGUGGUUACCUGCAGAUUACAAAGAUAACAACUUUCCUCCAUGUGGCCAUAUUUCCAGUUGAAUAGUAAAAUGCUGUAGUCAUUUCCAGCACAAAGUCUGAAUUAAAUACUUUUUGCACUGGA